rnacentral:rRNA from 1 species
GCGCRRGCCUCUUGGAAUAGAGCGUGUGCCCGGGUGAGAAUCCUGCAUUUCGCUCGAUGUCCGCUGUCCACAGUGCUUGUUCUGAGAGUCACGCUCCUCGGAAUUGGAGCGUAAAUCAGGUGGUAAGUUUCAUCCAAAGCUAAAUAGAAGCUCGAGACCAAUAGCAAACAAGUACCAUGAGGGAAAGAUGAAAAGGACUUUGGAAAGAGAGUUAAAAGUGUUUGAAAUUGCUGAGAGCGAAGCGAACGGAGCCACAUGUCGUGCUGAGAUUGCUGUGGGUCUUUGUGAGCCUUGAGCAUGUAASCGCAAGCUGACUGCUUAUGCGUGAGCAUUUGCCCGCAGUGUUUCUCAGCAUGCGAGUCAUUAGCCACAUUUGUUUGAGGAUGGCCUUCASCUCACAUGGUACACUUGUUAGUGUGCCUCUGUGCGGUGUGGGACUCAGACAGGUGUGGCUUGUUGACCCAGUGGUUUUUUUCGACCCGUCUUGAAACACGGACMAAGGAGUCYAACA